CCGGGGUACACGAGCGGCGAACGGGUGAGUAACACGUGGGUGACCUGCCCUCAGCUCUGGGAUAAGCCCGGGAAACUGGGUCUAAUACCGGAUAUGACCUUUCCUCGCAUGGGGUUUGGUGGAAAGUUUUUCGGCUGGGGAUGGGCCCGCGGCCUAUCAGCUUGUUGGUGGGGUGAUGGCCUACCAAGGCGACGACGGGUAGCCGGCCUGAGAGGGCGACCGGCCACACUGGGACUGAGACACGGCCCAG
rnacentral:rRNA from 1 species